ensembl:lncRNA
GAACUUUCUGGGAGUAGUUUACAUGGAUUUUCUGUCACUCGCUAGUGCCGGCAGGCACGUUCAAAGCUGGCACCUUCUGCUAGCUCCAGGGAAUUCUAUGGUGGUGAGGAAGCUGUGGAGGGCCUCUACAGCAUCUGUCUAUUGCUGGGGUGCAAGGAUGGCCUAACGUGAGGUCAGUAUAGCAUAAAGGUGAUGUGGAUUUAUUUGCCUAAGCAUAGAGAUCUAAUCACUUUGGACACUGCGAUCUGGACUCCAUCUGCCUCUCCAGAAGGGCACAAAUCUCCUGUGGGUCCUAUCUAUCAGCCAUGGGCAAACAUCUUGGAAAUGUGCUAAAUUAAUACCCAACUCACUUGAAGGAUUUAGAGUAUGUAACUCAGCCAUCAUUUAUCAUGCAGACAAAGAUCUUCAGAUCUUUUCAGGGGCUGAAACACCUCUCCUGUAGGGAGAGGCUGAGUGAGCUGGGCCUGUUCAGCCUGAGGAAAAGGAAGAUCAGGGUGAUCUCACCAAUGUCUGUAAACACCUGGGGGUAUACUUGCAGGGAACUGAUCUCCAGAGAGCACAUGAAGCUGAUGUCCCAGAACAAUAUCUUCAGGAACUGAUAAGCGUUCUUUCCUUUCAUUUAUCAACCGGCAGCAGACAUUCAGCAGAUGUAAUUUCAGAAAGCGAGGCCAGGAAACGCUCGUAUGAGGAGCCUUCUCACACCUGUCACAAGUGUGAGCACUCUGUGAAAGACCCAGAGGAAAUGCAAUUACUGCCACCACCUUCAGAGAAGCCACUUAGUCACUUAAAGAUCAGACCUGGGCUGCUCUGGAUUCCUGUUCAUCAUGGGGUGUGGGAAAGGCAAAGAGGAUUUCAUCAGGGCAAGGAGAAGUCUGUGAGAUGA